GCUGAAGACACACGUCGCUCUUCCUUCCAGGACCAGACAGAGGGAAGCUUUGUGAGCUGUGCCUGGGAGAAGCAAAUCCCCCACUCCCGCGGGCACCUCCAAGGAGCCGGGAAUGUGAACAGGGCUGAGGCUGGAGAGAGGAGCCCCUGGGCCGCAGCCCCAAUGCUCCCGCGCUCCCGGGAGCCUGACACUGCCGGGUCAAUCAGGCACGGUGAUGAUACCAAUGAUGAUGAUCAAACAGCGACACUCGCUCCUUAUCAAGCAUCCUGUCCAAGGGCUUUACUGGCAGCAACGGUGAGAAGGAAGAACACUUGUACCCAUGUUACAGAUGCGGAAACCAAGGCGUGGAGACAGCUGAGCUCAUCCUCCCGAGGUCACGGUGGCAGCGCUGGUGCUUCAGCCUUGAGAUGCCUGAUUCGCCCCAGUGCUGAACGCCCUCCCUGUGCCCAGGACGGCGCUGACCAUCAUGACUGUGUCCAGGAGCAAAGGGUGGAGCUGGGGCGACGGGGCCAGGCCGGAAGCUGAGGGAGCGUCAUGCUGUGUCUCUGGCCUACAGCCCUGGGAGUUGGCCCGAAAGAAUCCCUCCCUGGUCUGCAGCGUCUGGCUUCUCGUGUUUAGUUGAUUCUGCCCAGGAGGGAGCACAGGCGAUGCCGGCAGAGCCAAGGACGUGAGCGAUUCCAUCCUGAAGACGAUGUACAGCCGGGGGGAGAAGCACGGCAUUCCCCUCGUGUUCCCGUCACCAGCUCUUGGGUACCACCCCGAAUCCCCGCCCUUCAGGGGGUCCUGGCUUGAUCCUUCCUCUGACACUCAGUCCUUGACCCCAAGUGUGUGCGCCGAGUCACGGCCCCCAAACCUGGAACACCAGGUCCCCUGCCGGGCCUCCCAGGGAACACUGGAAAAUCCACAGGGCUGAAGUCCAGCGCCAACAUUCCAGAGCCUGGCGCCCCGGCAGGCCAACUUGGAUGGGAGAAACAGGCACAGGCCCUGGUUGAGAGAAGCACGCGGAGAUCUCCCAGCCAAGUCAGCAGCUGGUCCUGGCGGGCCAGGGAGGGACCAUCUGGAGAGGGGAGGGCGCCAAGGCUGCGCGUAUCUUCCGGCUACACGUUGGAUCUGAGCUGCUGGAUGUAAUAGCUAUCUGUGACUGCAGUUAUUAGUCCAAGAUUAAGGCAAUGGCAGGGUGGUAGCGCCUUCCUGGAACCGCUGGAAUGAACUAUUUGCUAUUGAGAUGUUCAGCGCUCAGCCACCCCGCGGUACUAACCACGUCGCUGGGAUGUGUCAGCACCCCAUUAGAAGUAUUAGCUACUGAGAUGCUGGCUUCCCGCUCUGAUUAGUAUUUGCUAUUCGUGCUGGAGCAACACAGUCUUUUUGUUUGUUUCUCAACUUCAAUUACCUAAUCACAGAUCCACGGAAUACGGAGAACAAGCCUCCAGCCUGAGCUGACUCUGGCAUCUCUGAUUAACUCAGAAACCUAGCAACGGAGGGAGCUGGCCGUGCCGGGAGCUCCUGGGGGUAAGGGGAGCUCCUGGGGGUAAGGGGAGCUCCUGGGGGUAAGGGGAGCCGGAAAAGCAGGAGCAGGUGUCACCUCGACUGUGAAACAGGAGCUCGGCGGACAGCCCCCUGCAGCGACUUAUCAACCGCUCAUCUCCUGAUGGCUUUGGAAGUUCUUGUGAUUCGAUUUCAGGCUUGAGAGGAGAGACUGAGACAUUAUAGGAACUGCAGUGACAGCCAUGAUAGCGGCGACGGGCCUCAAAGAGGCAGCUGGGGCUCUGGGGGACAGCCAGCCUCCUUGUGGGGCACUCGUCAGUGGGGUCGUGUGGAGGACAUGGGUGUUUAGCAGAUGGGAGCCCAAAUCUUUGUUCUCCAGCUUCUUUUUUUUUUUUUUGCGGUACGCGGGCCUGUCACUGUUGUGGCCUCUCCCGUUGCGGAGCACAGGCUCCGGACGCGCAGGCUCAGCGGCCAUGGCUCACGGGCCCAGCCGCUCCGCGGCAUGUGGGAUCUUCCUGGACCGGGGCACGAACCCGUGUCCCCUGCAUCGGCAGGUGGACUCCCAACCACUGCGCCACCAGGGAAGCCCUGUUCUCUGGCUUCUUGGAUGACCCUUACAUGAGUCGGUCCUCACCUGGUGAUUAUAGCUGUUCUCCGGGGCCUCCUGGGUUUCCCUUAACUAAGGAUGCAAGUCCCAUUUCCCACUCGUCACAGGGCCGCCUCUAGCUUCACCUGGGGGAGCGCAAGCCCCUUCUCACGACAUCAGUGCCCCAAGUGGAGGCGCUCUGUUCCCGAGGGCAAGGGGGCUCGGCCCGGGCGGGACGUACCUGAAGGUCUGGCUUCUAUGACGUAGCGGGUGAUGGGGCCUUUGCCGGGGUCUCCGCUGGACCAGUGGAUGGCAAUGGCCGAGCUGUACCGCACGAUGAUGGGCACUCCGGGCGGCCCGGGGGCACCUGUGAACGGCACACAGUGGGUGAGAGGAUGCAUGGGAGCCAGAACAGGCGCCCAGGCUGUCUUCCUGAGCUCCAGCAGGAGGUGCUGGACGUCAAAACCAACCUCGGCCAGGGGCUCCAGGAACCUGCGCGUGCCGAGGCCCAAGGAGUGCCUCUUGGCCAGGCCUACUGGGUCUGACUUAUUCUCUGCCAGGCCACCCAGAGCCCCUGCACUCCAGGAGACGUAUAUGUGACGAUGCCAGAAAGGUUCCCAGCUGCAUUUGCUUUAAGGCUAGGCCAGAGAGGAGGCCAGGGCUGCAGGAGGAUCUGGAAGCUUUGCGUCCAACAGGAAGAAGAACCCGGCCCCGCUGCUGGCUCUGUUAAGUCGGCCACGCGGGCUACUGGCCCCAGGGGCCAGAGCAGGAGACAGACGUUCGCCUCCGUAGUGAGAGGAGUGAGCCCGUGCUAUCUGCUAAGAGUCCUGUACCCCUUCUUCCCUGGGGUGCCCUGCAGCACCGGCUCCCACUACCCCCAGGGCCCCUGUCUGCUGUUCCCCACGACAUCUGGAGCCCUGUGCCCCCAGGGCCUGGCACACAGUAGGUGCUUCCUAGGUGCUUAUGGGACAAGGGAGUGAGCCAGGGAGUGAGGGGGUGGGUGACUGGCUGGCCCGGUGGCCCCUGUGGACGUCUGCGGGGAAAGGAGCUGAGAGCCCAGCUUCAGACUGAAGAUCCUCGGGGCCUGUGAAGGCUUGCAGCCGGACAGCAGGCCAGAGACUCACUACCAGAGCGUGGCGGCCCAUUGCCCAGCCCGCGUCCAGCACCACCCAUGACCUCAAAGGGCCUCACUGCCUUCCUUCCUGUCCCCCUUCCUCCCCUAACGAGCAUCCUGCCCACAGCACAGGGCAAAGGCGGCUGAGGGAUGGAGGGCGUGGGACACAGCCCGAGGGAGAUGUGAAGGGCGGGGCAGGGGCCCUUGGGACCCUGAGUUCUCAUUCCGCACAGGACAGCCCUCGGGGCUGAGAGGAGCUGUCAUCUCCUCCUGGACUAGAAGCUUCCAGCAUUUGCAGCAUUGCCCAGCCUGGAGGGAGAAGGACACCCAGCUGCAAUCUGCCCUUGCUGACCCCUCCUCUGCCGGGUGGGAGCAGCUCAGUGCUUUCUCAGAGGCCCCUCCCCCCAGCUCUGUACCGCCCCCCUCUGGAUCCCACCCCCACCCCCGCCGGGUCACUUCAAGCCUCCGGUUAGAACCCCCUGUCCUCCAGGCAGCCCUCUCCUGUCCCCAAGCCACCGCUCUGUCCUUCUUGUUCCUGCCGGCUAGCUUCCUGCUUUUGUCUCCCAAGGAAGCCAAGCUGGCUCAGGGUGGCUGCACAGAGAUGCUGAACUUCCUGGGACCCAGAAAUCUGGACUUAUCACAGGAACCCCGGGGGAUCUGACAUCAGUGGCACCUUGAGAAACACUCCACAGCCGGCCAGCCUUCCCUCACACCUGGACACCCACCCCUUCCCAUCCUGCUCCACCACAGCAGAAUUCUGCAGAUGCAGAAUUCAAGCCCCAAGGAUCAUCUCCCGGCGAGUGCUUCUGUAAAGACACCACCGUCCAGAGCUGGAGGGGACACCGGUGCAGCUGCCCCUAGAGCCCAGGACAACCUCCUUCCUCCUGUACCAGCAAGAGCCAGGAGCCCACGCCCGGCCCUCCACCAGCUGAGCCCGCCAGGCUCUUCAGGGCAACAGUGAGGGCGCUACAGCACUCCAAAUCUCGGCAACUAGACGGGAGGCUGGAUGGCUUCCAGGAGGACCCUGAGUGCAGUGUAGGUAGACUGCUGGCGUGAAGUCUACCUCAAACCCAGCCGAGAGUCGACUUUGAGGACCAGCCCAUCGGCAUCACCUAGGAGCUGCUUAGGGAUGCAGUGUCAGCCCACCCUGGACCUGUGGCAUCAGCAUCUGCAGGUUGACAAGGCCCCCAGGGGCACACACGACAGCUGGAACAGCGCACUGUAGAGGCAGGCAGGCCUGGGCUGACCCCAGCGCACCACUGACUUGCCCAGGUGACUUCUCUGAGCCGCAGUUGUGUCGUCCGUAUAGUGGGGGUCAUGGACACCCACUUCCCAAAACCAAGGUGACGUGCAAAGGUUGUAAAAAGAAGGAAGACACGGCAAUUCUGCAGAAAGUUUCAGUCCAGGAGCACAGCAGGUGUCCACAGUGCUUCCAAUAAUAGUUGAACCCCUGAACAACACGGGUUUGAACUGCCCGGGUCCACUUCUACGUGGAUUUUUCUCAAUAGACAGGUGCAGUACAACAGGAUCUGCGGUUGGUUGAAUCCGUGGAUGUGGAACUGCGGAUACAGAGAGCCGACUGGGACUUGAGCACCCGCAGAUUUUGGUAGUAUCCACAGUGGGUUCUGGAACUGAUCCCCCGCGGAUUCCGAGGGACGACUCUACUUCAUAUUCACCAGGGGUUAACACCCACUCGUCGCCAGCGAAGCAGCAGAUCCUUCACUAUUUUUAUUUUUUGACUGUGCCAUUCUUUAUUAUUUUGGAUAUCUACACAAAAUUUUACUUUAUUUUUUAAAAAAUUAUCUUUUUAAACAUCUUUAUUGGAGUCUAAUCGCUUUACAAUGGUGUGUUAGUUUCUGCUGUAUAGCAAAGUGAAUCAGCUAUACAUAUACAUAUAUCCCCAUAUCCCCUCCCUCUUGCGUGUCCCUCCCACCCUCCCUAUCCCAUCCCUCUCGGUGGUCACAAAGCACACGGAGCUGAUCUCCCUGUGCUAUGCGGCUGCUUCCCACUAGCUAUCUAUUUUACACUUGGUAGUGUAUAUACGUCCAUGCCACUCUCCCACUUCGUCCCAGCUUACCCUUCCCCCUCCCCGUGUCCUCAAGUCCAUUCUCUACGUCUGCGUCUUUAUUCCUGUCCUGCCCCUAGGUUCUUCAGAAGCAUUUUUUUUUUUAGAUUCCAUAUAUAUGUGUUAGCAUAUGGUAUUUGUUUUUCUCUUUCUGACUUACUUCACUCUGUAUGACAGACUCUAGGUCCACCGACCUCACUACAAAUAACUGUUUCGUUUCUUUUUAUGGCUGAGUAAUGUUCCAUUGGAUAUAUGUGCCACAUCUUCUUUGUCCAUUCCUCUUUCGAUAGACACUUAAGAUGCUUCCAUGCCCUGGCUAUUGCAAAUAGUGCUGCAAUGAACAUUGCUUCACUACUUUUAGAACUCAGAAUCGAGGCGUUGGGAAAGCUACAAGUCCCUGGCCCGCAGAGGACUAGAGGGCAUUUGGCGCCACCUGCUGGCCAACGGGGUUUCGGCACGCUAUUGGCUUCUCAAUUUCUCAAUUUGC